UACAGAGGUGCCGAGCGUUAGGCGGAAUCACUGGGCUUAAAGCGUGUGUAGGCGGACCGUUAAGUACCUUGUGAAAUCCCCCGGCUCAACCGGGGAACGGCUGGGUAUACUGGCGGUCUUGAGCCAUCCAGGGGCAGCCGGAACAGACGGUGGAGCGGUGAAAUGCGUAGAUAUCGUCUGGAACGCCGAAGGUGAAAACAGGCUGCUGGGGAUGUGCUGACGCUGAGACACGAAAGCCAGGGGAGCGAACGGG
rnacentral:rRNA from 1 species